rnacentral:rRNA from 1 species
CUAUGAUCCUGAAGGCAAGUGGGACUACCCGCUGAACUUAAGCAUAUCAAUAAGCGGAGGAA